AAAAAGGAAUUUUUAAGUUUUCAGAAGGUUAUGAUCUUCAUCUUUGCUGUUUGUAAGCUACGUCAUAUUAGAGUAUGUACAUAGAUAAGAAGGCAGGAAAAUAAAGCUGGUAAAUAUUCAGAUGAAAACGAUGUCGGUCGAAUUCCGAAAAACCUUCACGAAUUACUUAUAUACAUAUGAAUGUAUGUAUGUAGGUCAUCAUGACCUUCUUGAAUCUGUUUAAACCAUUACGGUAUGUCUCGGAUCAAUGUAUGUAGCUCGAUAGAGAACACUCUUCGGUUUUCUUUUCGCCGAGAAGUCUCAGUUGUUUUACACUGGCGGAAGAACUACUUUACGAUUAAAAAUGCUGCGUUUAGCGCCAUAUUCCCCCAUGCUAAACCCCAUUGAAAUAAUCUGGGGAAAAAUCAAAAUGCAUGUAAAGGUGCACAUCUCAAACCCAGUCAUAAAUGGGCCAAACGUUGUUUAGCAACGGCUGCAAUAUUUGGAGAAGUUGGUGGAUCACGCGAAAACUAUAAUCACCGGAGGAGACUGCGCGAAAUGCUUUAUCUUUACAAGAUAUGCAAGUUGGGACAUAAUAAACUUGCAUUUUUAAUAACAUCUAAAUAAUUUCUGAAUAAAAACGAGUUUCUCAUUUCCAAAUGA
rnacentral:lncRNA from 1 species